rnacentral:rRNA from 1 species
UACGUAGGAGGCAAGCGUUGUCCGGAAUUACUGGGCGUAAAGCGCGUGUAGGUGGUGGGACAAGUCUGCUGUGAAAGCGCCUGGCUUAACCGGGCGAGGUCGGCGGAAACUGUCCGACUCGAGGACGGUAGAGGGGGGUGGAAUUCCCGGUGUAGUGGUGAAAUGCGUAGAUAUUCGGAAGAACACCAGUGGCGAAGGCGACUCACUGGACACGUAUUGACGCUGAGGUGCGAAAGCGUGGGGAGCAAACAGG